CCGCAAUGCGGGCAACCGUGACGGGGUCACCCCGAGUGCCCCGAANAGGGGCUUUUCCCCGCUGNAAAAAGGCGGGGGAAUAAGCGGGGGGCAAGUCUGGUGUCAGCCGCCGCGGUAAUACCAGCCCCGCGAGUGGUCGGGACGAUUAUUGGGCCUAAAGCGGCCGUAGCCGGCCCGGCAAGUCCUCGCUGAAAUCCUCGGGCUCAACCCGAGGGCGGGCGGGGAUACUGCCGGGCUAGAGGGCGGGAGAGGCCGGGGGUAGUCCCGGGGUAGGGGCGAAAUCCGAUAAUCCCGGGAGGACCACCAGUGGCGAAGGCGCCCGGCUGGAACGCGCCUGACGGUGAGGGCCGAAAGCCGGGGGAGCGAACCGGAUUAGAUACCCGGGUAGUCCCGGCUGUAAACGAUGCGGGCUAGGUGUUGGGCUGACUUAGAGUCAGCCCAGUGCCGCA
rnacentral:rRNA from 1 species